rnacentral:tRNA from 1 species
GGUGGCUCAAUGCUAGAGUGCUUGCCUGGCAUGUAUGAGGCCCUGAGUUCAAUUCCUCAGCACCA